rnacentral:lncRNA from 1 species
ACUCUCAUUUAAAUAAAAAUGGUGCAGAAAAAAGGGAAACAAGAUUCUUUUCUUUUCGUUUAACACUUUAAGGCUUUGUUUGACAAAACAAAAUCUGGAUAUUCAUAUUUUUAGAAAUAUGAGUAUAGCCAUUACCAGUUUUCCAUAUAUAUGAACUAUAAAUUAUUCUGAAUAUGCAUACUUCUGAGCAUGUUUGACUGUCCACCUCUAUCUUAAAAUUUUGUCACAUUACUGUCCACCUCUAUCUUAAACUUGUCACAUUACCGUAAACAGAAGAGAGAGAAAGAGAAGUAGAGAGAGGAAGAGAGGAGUACUGUAGCUAAUUACAGGUUCGAAAAUAGAGAAGUAGCCAAUAAAUCUUUUUUCCUUUAGGGAGAGUAUAAAUAAUGCUACAGAAUUUAGUUUAGAGAGAAAUGUUAAUUUAGAAAGAGGGAAACAUUAAAAAAGCCUGUCCCAUUUACAGUACCCACUGAAAUUUUUGGAUAGAGAGAGGAGAGAGUACCCAUUCCAACUUCCUUCACCCCCAAGCCUCCCUCCAAUAGGAGAGAGAGCAAUUCGAGAGAGAGAAAGCAAAUACCUAGGUGAAAAGUCUUGGCAUACUCUAUCGUUCACAAAAAAAAAAGAAGUCAUGACAUACUUUGCUCAAACCUUGCUACAUUCAUCGUAUGCUUCAUUGAGGAGUUCCAAGGAAGCAGACAUGGCCUUGCCAGGUUUCACAUCCAUAACCAAAAAAGAGCUCCUCCUAUCUCCCACUAGAGCAACUUGCGAAGUAAGUUUUAAUGCCCUAUGUAGCAGCCUUUCAGCAAAAAGGGUCUUCAGUACUCCAUGAGCGGUGAUUGUUGAGAAACAAAUGGUUUGUGGUAAGAGAGAGAAAGAUGGUUUGCAAAAUGUGUGGAUCUAUAUAGGGUGAGAAUGAAAGUCAGUCUGGGUAGUUGGACUUUGCCAGAGUAGUAUAAGAGGGGGAAGAGUCCAGAAAAUUGAAAGAGAAGGAAGAUGGAGAGAUUUUGGGGGAUGGAGAGAGAUUGUGAGUGGGGAAGAAGAGAGUAAAGAAAGAGGAGAGCAGUAGAUGAU